CAGGUUAUUCCAGUAAGUUGGGUAUUUCAGUUACAUUGAAUUUUUUGUCGUGCAAGUCGAUAUAACCUGA
rnacentral:tRNA from 1 species